rnacentral:lncRNA from 1 species
AUACUGUAUAAUUUGUAAUAUAUAAAUUACAAAUUUAGCUCUUAAUUGUGGGAAUCAGAUUCUUCGAGUUCUAUUGAUUUUUUGGAUGCUGUGUAAUAUUUUAUUGUCUGUAUAACAGUAUUUUUUUUUUUUAAUGAGCCAAUAGAACAGAAGUCAAAAUCUAUUUUUAUUCGGAAAAAUCAUAUUAGAAUACAUGUUUAAAAACAGUUAUUGUGAAGGAAAUAAGUGUAUAUUAACUUUCCAGUUAUGUUAUUCACUUAAAAGAACAUUUCUUAGCUUUCUACCAAUUCCCCCAAAAUUAUAAAGAAAUUGUUUCUGAUUUUCCUGUUAAAUAGCAAAGUAAAAUUCUAAACCCAUUGGUAACCCUGUAUUUUGUACAGUGUUCAAAGUACAUAAGUCACUACUUGGGAACUUCAUGAUUUUUAUGUAUACGUUAUUAUAAUGACAUUUAAGAA